UUUUUUUUUAAUCUGGCCAACUGCAUGCUUGCAGCAAGUAAUUCCAUACUUUUUCCCAAAGCUUGAUACAAGAUGCAUCACUGGACAUGCUGAUCUAGUUACUACUAGAUGUUUUUCAGAAUUUCCGAUAUUAUAUCAAUAACAGUCAUGUUUAUAUAUUUAAAGAGUCUGCUGGUUUUCAUAAAAUGUUUCUCAAUCAUAAAAAUGAGGUCUGGGCAGAGAGUUAGUACAAGAGAAGCUGUGUACAAUAGAUGAAAAUAAGCUGUUCACAUAUUUCCACGUUUUAUGGUUCUGAUUUUUUUGGCAUUCCUAUGAUUUUAAUGUGCAACAGACUCAGACACACCAAAAAAAUGGAUCCAUAACAUUUAAAAAUUUUGAGAAUAAUUGGUAAAUGGUCAAAUGUUCCCAUGUCUCGACAUUUUUUUUAGCUCUUCCUCAUUUUGAAGACUCAGACUAUUUGUGAGUAGGUCACUUUAUUACAGAUUCAAUGUAUCUUAUAUGAAAGGGAUUGGUAAGAACAUCUGAGCCCAUGUCAUACGUGCAAAAUGGUGUGUUUUUCUCCACAGAAAUUAAUGAGGCUUUACAGCAAGGCUGAGAUUUCCCAUGUGAUUUUGGAUGAGACCUGUGUCAGCUUUGACAUGAUAUAUGUGCUCUUACAGCUUACAAAAUAUUGCACUUAGCUGAGUCACUGACCUCAUUUUAGGGCAAUUGGCUGUUACACAGAUGAUCCACAGCCUUAACUGGUCCAAACAAACCAGAAUGGGCUGUAAAGUAAAUAAAAAUGCAUAAAAAUGAAUUUUGUAAUUUUGUUUUCACUUUACAGAAUAACAUGAAAAACACAAAAGAAAACAAAUUGAGCUCCAUUAAAAUUUAUUAAAGGUUUUUUUAAAAUUGUAUCAAAUGUAUACUCCUUUGAUGUUUUAACAAACAAGAUAAAAGGCCCAGUUUAUAUAAUGUAAAAACUGAAGAUUUAUAUAACCAUCCUUUUGCAACUGAAAAUAGACAUCCAUUUUCAGAGUUGCAAUUCUUAGUUCAGUCUGUCUGCAACUUCCAGGUAGCUGGAAGUUCUCUAUUAAAAAGAAAAUGUUUUGACAUUUCCCUUGAAACCGGUAUAUCCAAUUCCAGGUUAUGAAUGUAUAAAGAUAUAAUUGAUUCUACUAGUCUCUGAAGCUUUCCUAUAUUGUACAGAAUUUCUGGGUUGUUCCAAAAAUCUAGAAUUUGGUCAAUCACUGAAUCUUAUGAUGAAUAAUUAUUGUUUUUGUUUUAGCCAAGAAGAAAAUAGUGAAGAUAUUUCAAGUUGAAGAGAGCAAAACAGUUCUUUGGCAGCUCUUUCAGAUUCCAGAAAUAUUACAUAAUUCCAUAAAUAUUGAUGCAUUGUCUAUGCCUGGAAAAGAAGCAAAUAUACAGUUUGAACUGUUGCCAUAGAAUUUCACUGACCAUCACUUCAACUGCAGAAACAAAAUUCUCCAUCCUAACAUUAUGGCCCAACUCAUGUCAGCCUAAGCUUCUCUCAGGAAAGAACUCAAAAACUGUGAAUCAUCUUUUCAGCUACCCAGUUCCAGUGUCAUUAGUCCUACAUUAGCUUGUGUUGAUCACAAGCAGCCACUUUUCACACUGAGCUAGCUAAGACUGUCAGAGAUUUGGUCCAGUAGCUUCAAGUAACUUGACUUCAGCUUACUUUAACCCCACUUCUUCCUGCAGGUACUGAGCAGCUGCAAACGAGAUGUAUGAGCCACUGUGCAAACCAAAAGGCCUUUGCAUGAAAGCAGAGUGCAACAAAAAUACCACAAAAGAAAACUGAGGCCAGCACUAUUAGCAAUAUUGAUAGACAGUGAACAGCCUAAAUUCCCAUUUAGCUAGCAAAGGAAGUCAGCAUCUACUUUUGCUACUAAAUAUCACCUAGCAGAAUGUUACAAAAAAUACAUGAAUGGGAUUCCCAGAAAAUACUGCGCUGUUAUUGAACAGCAUCAAUAAGAAGAGUGAUAAUAAAAACUUAGCAUGUGGUUCUAAUGCCCCAAGCCACUCAUUUAUGGGACUGUGCAGAUGUUUAUUAGCUCCAAAUGUGACUUCUAAAUUCCUUUUUGUGUCUGUAUAAGAGUUCAUAGAAAUAGUAAGUUGUUCAUACAACCAUUACAUUUAAAAGUGUACACAGCUGCUGUAUCAAGAAGUAAGAGAGAAGUUAAUUUCCUGUUUCACUUUCUGGAGCAUAUUUAAAUGUGUUUGCAUUAUGUUCUGUUGAAUUUCCUAAUCAGAAAGGACUGGGUUGUAGAAUGAAAUGGCUGGAAUGUGAUUCUGCUUUGAAUUGUUUGUUGGAUAAAUACAGAACAAGCAAAUGGAUUAUUUGCAUUACUUUGAUGGCUGUCUUCUGAUGAUAUUAUAAAUCCAAGAGCAACACUGGAGUUGUUUGCACAGGCAUCACCAACACUCUGAGCAGCAAGAAGUCACAAGUUCCAAAGGAGCAGAGGUUUGGGGAACACCUUCCCAUGGAGUUACUGGAACAACCUGUGAACAAACAACAAGUGAGCAGCAGAAAACAGCAGCAUGCUAUGGGGCAUCCUGCAAGAAGCCGUGGAGAGCUCUUCUGCUUCAUGCUCUCAGGAAAACAAACCUGCCAGCAGACAGGUGAGGAGCAGAAAUCUUCACCCCCUUUGCAAAAGGAACUAUGCACUCAGCCAGACAAUAGUAUUCAAGAAAGCAAGAGGUUAAAGCUUAACAUGUCCUGUCCACAGCUGAAAAAAGUAAAAGAGUGUACCAACUUUGUGAACAAUCGUUUGCUGUUUUUUCUCUCUUGUAUUCUCAAUUCCCACUUUGUUUUUACAGUUUUCUUCAUUCCAGUCCUUUUAAAUUUCCUUCUUCCUGUUAGAAGGCACAGCUUACUCUCUAAAAGUGAUAAUUUAUCUGAAAACUGACAGACUAUGAAGAUUUUGAUUUUCAUUUGCAUUUGUUUUGUCCCGAUUGCAAGUUCAAAGUUAGGUUUACUUACUUGGUUCUUACCCUGUUUGAAGUUUUCUGUUCUCCUCUAAUGGGCUGCUGAUUAAAACCACUUGGAACAACCCUGGCUCGUGAUUCCAGCUCGUCUCACUCACUCAGGAGGCAGGCACACGCACAUAACACACACCAUCUGAAGCCAGUUGGACCACAGACUUCAUAUAAAUAAGGGCUGGACUGCUC